rnacentral:rRNA from 1 species
AACGAACGCUGGCGGCAGGCUUAAUACAUGCAAGUCGAACGCCCCUUUCGGGGGGAGUGGCAGACGGGUGAGUAACGCGUGGGAACGUGCCCAAAGGUAGGGAACAACUCCGGGAAACUGGAGCUAAUACCCUAUGUGCCCGAGAGGGGAGAGAUUUAUCGCCUUUGGAUCGGCCCGCGUUGGAUUAGCUAGUUGGUGGGGUAAAAGCCUACCAAGGCGACGAUCCAUAGCUGUUCUGAGAGGAAGAUCAGCCACACUGGGACUGAGACACGGCCCAGACUCCUACGGGAGGCAGCAGUAGGGAAUCUUGGACAAUGGGCGCAAGCCUGAUCCAGCCAUGCCGCGUGAGUGAUGAAGGCCUUAGGGUUGUAAAACUCUUUCGCAGGUGACGAUAAUGACGGUAACCUGAGAAGAAGCCCCGGCUAACUUCGUGCCAGCAGCCGCAGUAA